UAUGCUAACUGGAAGCAUUAGAAAAAUCUUUGUCUCUGGAUUUUCGUAAGCGUUUUCGCUUCUCUGCAAGAACAGAUUCUCGGAACUGUACUUGCAACGGCACUUUCUCGCAUUCGUACGAUUAACGAAGGUGUAAAGAUUUGGAGAAAACGAUACGCAUGAAAGGCGCAACACGCGAGCUUUGAGCACAGUUUCAGUGGAAACUGAAUUUUCUAAAAUAGUCGCACGCGGUAUCUUAGAAUUGUCGAGAAAUUAUCCUUUUUUCUUGUUCUUUAGGCUUGCGUUGAUGACCACGAAAAGGUUGCAAAUUUUGGACACUGGAAGGUGGAGAAGCUGUCGUUUAAAAAAUCGUGAAAUUCUCGAUAUUUUCCCUCGCAGUUUUCAUUCACGUUAUAACCACAAUUAUGUUAAUUAACAUUUUGAUUGCUACGUUGGUCAAAUAUGAUCCGGCCACGAUUUCGCCUGUGACGCCACGGGAUCAUUGGUGACCGGAGAGCUUCAACUUCUUACAAUUGUAAAAAUUGCAUGACUACUCGGGGUUAGUUAGGGUAUUUUGAAUAUAACCGAUAAAUAGGAGAUACUUUGAAAUAAAAAGUGCCCCAUUGAGCAAUUAAAUAUUUUUAUUAGAACAACAAUACAAAAAAAUGAGAACAAAUGUUGCAUCUAACGGUGCACUGCUUUAAGACACUAAACAUAAAUGUGGCUCACCAAUACAAUUUGGACAAUAGGUGGUCGCCUUUUUGGUCCGAUUCUU
rnacentral:misc_RNA from 1 species